rnacentral:rRNA from 1 species
ACUCCUACGGGAGGCAGCAGUGGGGAAUAUUGCACAAUGGGCGCAAGCCUGAUGCAGCCAUGCCGCGUGUGUGAAGAAGGCCUUCGGGUUGUAAAGCACUUUCAGUCGUGAGGAAGGUAGUGUAGUUAAUAGCUGCAGUAUUUGUACGUUAGCGACAGAAGAAGCACCGGCUAACUCCGUGCCAGCAGCCGCGGUAAUACGGAGGGUGCGAGCGUUAAUCGGAAUUACUGGGCGUAAAGCGCAUGCAGGUGGUUUGUUAAGUCAGAUGUGAAAGCCCGGGGCUCAACCUCGGAAUAGCAUUUGAAACUGGCAGACUAGAGUACUGUAGAGGGGGUUAGAAUUUCAGGUGUAGCGGUGAAAUGCGUAGAGAUCUGAAGGAAUACCGGUGGCGAAGGCGGCCCCCUGGACAGAUACUGACACUCAGAUGCGAAAGCGUGGGAGCAAACAGGAUUAGAUACCCCUGGUAGACUGUCA